rnacentral:rRNA from 1 species
CUCCCUCGUUGCUGACCCCAGGUUCGAUAGUGCCAAUGAGACACUACCUCGCCAAGAACCAACUUCGAUGAAGCGACGGGCGGUGUGUGCAAAAGG